CAGCAGCCGCGGUAAUACGUAGGUGGCAAGCGUUGUCUGGAAUUAUUGGGCGUAAAGGGCUCGCAGGCGGUUUCUUAAGUCUGAUGUGAAAGCCCCCGGCUCAACCGGGGAGGGUCAUUGGAAACUGGGAAACUUGUGUGCAGAAGAGGAGAGUGGAAUUCCACGUGUAGCGGUGAAAUGCGUAGAGAUGUGGAGGAACACCAGUGGCGAAGGCGACUCUCUGGUCUGUAACUGACGCUGAGGAGCGAAAGCGUGGGGAGCGAACAGGAUUAGAUACCCGAGUAGUCCCUGUCUCUUAUAC
rnacentral:rRNA from 1 species